AAGCAUCUGCUGAUAGGCCAGGAACAGCUGCUCUUGCUCACUGGCUUGCAUUAAGAUGCAACAGCAAUAUCCUUGCGCUUUCUGUCUGCCUGGUAGUGUGGCAGCGCAGAUUGAAAAGGGGAGGACAGUU
ensembl:snoRNA